rnacentral:rRNA from 1 species
AGAGUUUGAUCCUGGCUCAGAACGAACGCUGGCGGCAUGCCUAACACAUGCAAGUCGAACGAGACCUUCGGGUCUAGUGGCGCACGGGUGCGUAACGCGUGGGAAUCUGCCCUUGGGUUCGGAACAACAGUUGGAAACGACUGCUAAUACCGGAUGAUGACUUCGGUCCAAAGAUUUAUCGCCCAGGGAUGAGCCCGCGUAGGAUUAGCUUGUUGGUGAGGUAAAAGCUCACCAAGGCGACGAUCCUUAGCUGGUCUGAGAGGAUGAUCAGCCACACUGGGACUGAGACACGGCCCAGACUCCUACGGGAGGCAGCAGUGGGGAAUAUUGGACAAUGGGCGAAAGCCUGAUCCAGCAAUGCCGCGUGAGUGAUGAAGGCCUUAGGGUUGUAAAGCUCUUUUACCCGGGAUGAUAAUGACAGUACCGGGAGAAUAAGCCCCGGCUAACUCCGUGCCAGCAGCCGCGGUAAUACGGAGGGGGCUAGCGUUGUUCGGAAUUACUGGGCGUAAAGCGCACGUAUGCGGCUUUGUAAGUUAGAGGUGAAAGCCCAGGGCUCAACUCUGGAACUGCCUUUAAGACUGCAUCGCUUUGAAUUGUGGAGAGGUAAGUGGAAUUCCGAGUGGAGAGUGAAUUCGUAGAUAUUUCGAUGAUCACCCUUGUCCAAAGCGU